AGAGUCAGAAGUCAGAGCUUUGCUGUGAGACCAGCAUCCACGCGGAUGUGCCCCAGGCUACAUUCAGCUGCGUUCCUAUUGCUAAAGACCUGAACAGUGAGCAUGAGCGAGGAUCUCCUUGCCAAGAUCCCGGUCAGAGACUUAUGUCUUCCAGACUUAAGAUCAGGAUCACAGAGCACAAACUAUACUGGCAUGAAGAGAAUCGACACCUAACCCCAGAGCACAGACCCACACUCCUGUUCAAAGGCUGCCAAGUUCAGCAAAUCUGUCUGGCAUUUGAGGCAAAAAGGAAACCUGAUUUUACUGUAAACAUCCCAACCUUGUCAUGCAGAUGCUGGGAGACUGUAUGAUGUCAAACUGUAAUCAGAGGAAGCCACCAACAAGCUGUGCUGCUGCAGUCAUGGGCUAAGAAUCCAUCGUAUUCCAUCUAUACCUCUGUCCACACUUACUGUCUGUAUUCCAGUCAAUAAACUGAUUUUUUUCUGGCCAUCUCCACUGUACAUUUUUAUUCUCAUUUUGUGGCAUAUUAUUAGAUCAUUUUCAGCAAUCUAUGGCUGAAUUUGUUCUUCAUGGGCAAAGAAUUUCUG
ensembl:lncRNA